UACGGGGGGGGCAAGCGUUGUUCGGAAUUACUGGGCGUAAAGGGCUCGUAGGCGGCCAACUAAGUCGGAUGUGAAAUCCCCAGGCUUAACCUGGGAACUGCAUCCGAUACUGGAUGGCUUGAAUCCGGGAGAGGGAUGCGGAAUUCCAGGUGUAGCGGUGAAAUGCGUAGAUAUCAAGAGGAACACCUGAGGUGAAGACGGGUUGCUGGGCUGACACUGACGCUGAGGCGCGAAAGCCAGGGGAGCAAACGGG
rnacentral:rRNA from 1 species